CAGUCGCCGCGGUAAUACGCAGGGGGCUAACGUUGCUCGGAAUUACUGGGCGUAAAGGGAGCGUAGGCGGGUCGCUUAGUCAGAGGUGAAAUCCCGGGGCUCAACCUCGGAACUGCCUUUGAUACUGGCGACCUUGAGUAUGGGAGAGGUAAGCGGAACUCCGAGUGUAGAGGUGAAAUUCGUAGAUAUUCGGAAGAACACUAGUGGCGAAGGCGGCUUACUGGCCCAUUACUGACGCUGAGGCUCGAAAGCGUGGGGAGCAAACAGGAUUAGAUACCCGCGUAGUCCCUGUCUCUUAUAC
rnacentral:rRNA from 1 species